rnacentral:rRNA from 1 species
AACGAACGCUGGCGGCAGGCCUAACACAUGCCAGUCGAGCGAGACCUUCGGGUCUAGCGGCGGACGGGUGAGUAACGCGUGGGAACGUGCCCUUUUCUGCGGAAUAGCCUCGGGAAACUGAGCGUAAUACCGCAUACGCCCUUUGGGGGAAAGAUUUAUCGGAAAAGGAUCGGCCCGCGUUGGAUUAGGUAGUUGGUGGGGUAAUGGCCUACCAAGCCUACGAUCCAUAGCUGGUUUGAGAGGAUGAUCAGCCACACUGGGACUGAGACACGGCCCAGACUCCUACGGGAGGCAGCAGUGGGGAAUCUUAGACAAUGGGGGCAACCCUGAUCGAGCCAUGCCGCGUGAGUGAUGAAGGCCUUAGGGUUGUAAAGCUCUUUCAGCUGGGAAGAUAAUGACGGUACCAGCAGAAGAAGCCCCGGCUAACUCCGUG